rnacentral:ncRNA from 1 species
AAACAAGCGUUGAACGGAAUAAGUAGUCUUGCUGUCCCUGUUACAAAGAGAGCUUUCGGCCGGUGAAAGAAAGCACAAACAGCGGGAUGAAUUACCUCCCGGAGCUUUCGCCGUGAACAGUUAGUAGCGGAUGACGUCACCGUCGUUACCGGUUUGAGUGGAGAAAAUCUUUUUUCUCAAGUUUUGGGUGGUACCGCGCGUAUAAGCGUCCCUGCA